rnacentral:misc_RNA from 1 species
CCAAACUUGGUCAUUUAGAGGAAGUAAAAGUCGUAACAAGGUUUCCGUAGGUGAGUCGGACUGACCCGCGCACCCCCCAUCCGCGGUACCGUGCUAACUGUCCUCUUAGGUGAACCUGCGGAAGGAUCAUUACCGAGUACCGGGGCCUGAGCCCCUACUCCCACCCAUGCUGACCUGGCAAUGCUUGCUUUGGCAGACCGGCGCCUCGGUGCGCCCCUAGCCUCGCGGUCGGGAGCGUCUGCCAGGGGGAUAUCCAACUCGGCCCUGACACGGACGUCUGAGUCCUAGCGAAUCUAAGUAAAACUUUCAACAACGGAUCUCUUGGUUCUGGCAUCGAUGAAGAACGCAGC